rnacentral:tRNA from 1 species
GGGCCCGUAGCAUAGUCUGGAAUACUAUUUGGAUAAAUAGUGCGAUUGGCUUCGGACCAGUUGACUCCGGUUCGAAUCCGGGCGGGCUCA